rnacentral:lncRNA from 1 species
UUCUGAAUAUGGAUGUCCCACUGCCAGCUUUGGGAAGCCUUCACCAUCUCUGCCUAUACAGAUGGACACACUCCCUGCCUGUGCUGCUGCUAGACUGUGCUUACACUUCCAUCACAGAAUUUAUUUGAUUGGGUUAUCAUGGCUUCUCUGCUGGAAUGGAAGCUACUUGGGAGCCUGGGGAAAUGCUUGGCUCAAAGGACUUCUGCACUUCUGAUGGUUGGAUGACUCCACUGAGACCCAAGACUUAAGACUCACCUGGUCCUAUAGCCCCCACCCAGAAGUGGACUCAGCACAUAAGAACCAUUUUCUACAUCUCUAUGAUUGCACCCCUGACCAAUCAGCAGCACCCAUUCCCUAGCCCCCAGCCCAC